UACAGAGGGUGCAAGCGUUGUUCGGAAUUAUUGGGCGUAAAGCGCGUGUAGGCGGCUUUGCAAGUCGGGUGUGAAAGCCCUCAGCUCAACUGAGGAAGUGCGCCCGAAACUGCAGAGCUUGAGUACCGGAGAGGAUGGCGGAAUUCCCCAAGUAGAGGUGAAAUUCGUAGAUAUGGGGAGGAACACCGGUGGCGAAGGCGGCCAUCUGGGCCGAUACUGACGCUGAGGAGCGAAAGCGUGGGGAGCGAACAGG
rnacentral:rRNA from 1 species